rnacentral:rRNA from 1 species
UAGCAGAGGGUGCGAGCGUUGUUCGGAAUUAUUGGGCGUAAAGGGCGCGUAGGCGGCGCCACAAGUCACUUGUGAAAACUCUGGGCUCAACUCAGAGCCUGCAAGCGAAACUGUGGUGCUGGAGUAUGGGAGAGGUGCGUGGAAUUCCCGGUGUAGCGGUGAAAUGCGCAGAUAUCAGGAGGAACACCCGGUAGCGAAGGCGG